UUCAUACCUGUCGCUCCUCUGCUCGUCUUCUUUCUCUCACUCCUUCCUCCUCCUCCUCCUCUUCCUCCUCCUCUGAAGGUUUUCACAGAUAAGAGAUGGGAUGUGGAAAUUCCUCACCGACCUCCAACAACAACAAUAAUAACAGCGGCGGUGGCGGCAGCAGCACAGGAGAUCGUGCUGACUCUUCAUCAAAAGGAUCAGAGGAGUCUCUGCCAGAAGACGACAGACGGAAGAACUAUGGUGGCGUGUACGUGGGCUUACCAACAGACCUGAGCAACAU